rnacentral:rRNA from 1 species
GACGAACGCUGGCGGCGUGCUUAACACAUGCAAGUCGAACGGAAAGGCCCUGCUUUUGUGGGGUGCUCGAGUGGCGAACGGGUGAGUAACACGUGAGUAACCUGCCCUUGACUUUGGGAUAACUUCAGGAGACUGGGGCUAAUACCGGAUAGGAGCUCCUGCUGCAUGGUGGGGGUUGGAAAGUUUCGGCGGUUGGGGAUGGACUCGCGGCUUAUCAGCUUGUUGGUGGGGUAGUGGCUGACGAAGGCUUUGACGGAUAGCCGGCCUGAGAGGGGGACCGGCGACAUUGGGACUAAGAUAGGGCCCAGUCGCCUACGGGAGGCAGCAGUGGGGAGUAUUGCACAGUGAGCGGAAGCCUGAUGCGACAACGCCGCGUGCGGGAUGACGGCCUUCGGGUUGUGAACCGCUUUCGCCGGAGACGAAGCGUGAGUGACGGUAAUGGGUAAAGAAGCACCGGCUAACUACGUG